CACAUCAUACUUAAAGAACAGAGACGUGUGAAGGUUACAAUGAUGGAUUCAAAAAUAAUUACGUAAAGGCCAUAUGGCAACGGUGGGAGCCGUUACACGAUACAGGCUGUAAUGGCCAUUCUGAAGGAAAAAAAAAAAGAGGCCCAUAAGAGCCCUAUAACAGGCCUGUAGCAGGUCAAUACCAGGCCGUAACAGGACCAUUACGGGCCCAUAACUGUCCAUUAUGGGGCUGAUGCAUUUUCUUCCUUUGAUUUUUUUUUUUUUUUUUGACCGAUACAGCGUCGUAGGUGGCCGUUACCACCCGUAUCAUAACAGCUAUAAGGCUUGCCGUUACGGUCACCGUUACCAUAAUUGAAUACCUUGGUUAAAUAGUAUGAUUCUGAAGCCAAUGAUCCUACACAUGUCAAUACAGCAACUGCAUGAAGACUAAAGAGCUGUCAGCAGGUUGGAUACUGGUGUACCCUAAUCUGGACCC